GUGAUUAAGUUAUUAAGGGCGCACGGUGGAUGCCUUGGCACUAGAAGCCGAUGAAGGACGUUACUAACGACGAUAUGCUUUGGGUAGCUGUAAGUAAGCGUUGAUCCAGAGAUUUCCGAAUGGGGGAACCCAGCACAAGUUAUGUUGUGUUAUCGACAUGUGAAUACAUAGCAUGUACGA
rnacentral:rRNA from 1 species